GAUGAGAACUAACCUGCUGAAUGUCAA
rnacentral:piRNA from 1 species